AUGCUUCUUAACUUGGUGUCAUUUAGGAGAUGGGACGGCAACGUAUCUUUAGGAAAACUGGUGUCUAUAGCGUGCCAGGCGGCAACUUGUGAGAUCCCGACUGCACCUGAUCCAAUAACGGCUAGCAAGACGUCAAAAGUCGCAAGUCGAGCUGCACCGCGGUCAGUUGUGACGCGGGGCAGCUGCUGAGGUCCAACUCGUUGCGCACCAUUUGUCACGAUACCUUCAGCAGCUCAACGUGCUCGUGUCGAGGGUGAAUAGGUCGAUAACGAGAGCCAUCGAAAGAGCUGCGAGACGCACGCGUCAGCACAGAAGCGCACAGAACCCAGAUCUUUGAUAGAACUUUGACGCGCUGGGCACGCGGGAUGCGCUAGGUUCACGCUGCGUCUGCAACCGCAUCUCCAUAUGGGGCUUGUUCGUUCAUGAAUCAGGCACGUGAGACAAGCGGGCAGGCGCUUUCGUUUUUCGGAUUCAGAGUGGACUCGCUUUGCGCUGCAUAUGUAUCUGCAUUUGCAUGUCCCAUGCCAAUAACGUUAUAGUUGCUGCUGACAACUGUGGCUUGGACUCGACCCCGGAUAAAGAACGGCUUGCGAACUUGGAUGAGUGCCUUGCGCUCGCUGAGGUUUGCACCGGGAGCCGUACAGCGUUCUUGCUGCACCUGCGGCUGCGGACUUGGGAUCAGUUAUAGCGCCCGGAUCGUCGUUGCCGCUUCGUCGUUCCCGUUGCCAACAAGGAGAGACGGAGGUAUUCAUCCCAAAGUGAUGCCGAUGUUGCCGUGCAUGUUCAUCCGAGGAUGCUAAUGAAGGAAAUCGCCUUUCUUCAGUUGCACUGUUUGGUCGCACGGCGUUGGUCCUCUGAUCACGCUGGACGUCGGUGGCUGUGGCGUCAGCGACGCUCUGCUUCCCUCGAGGUGGUUGACACAAGGAGGCGACAGCGGCGUCGAGACAAUGCGGUGUCGCGUUUGGGCCUUGAGAUGUAGCGAAUGGCUGUUCCCGGAUGUCGCUGGGCGAUAGCGGUGCUCGCUUUUGCUGGCUCCGCAAGGCAUCCAGCUGCACUGCCAUCCGCGAGAGAUGUUCGCGGAGGACCUCGUUUUCCUGAUGGGCGGCAUCUAACUCCGCAAGAAUGCGGGUAGCACCUGCUGGACUGCCCAAGGCCUCUGAAAGAUCCGAAAUCUGUGAUUCCGAUGCAGGCUCGGUUGGGGUAUCCCUUGGUUUUGCUGGACGCCUCCUGCGGAUGCCCCGCAGACGGCUGCCAGCGGCGAAGCGGUGAUGUGGCGGCAUGCGCGGCCUCCGACGCUGCUCCACUGGGGCAGAACCCGGAAGGCCCCCGCUGAUGGACUCCACUGCACGAUGCAAGAGACCCCAAAUGGGGCUCGAGGCAUCUCUACCGAUGAACGCUUGUGAUGAUAUACUGAACGGCGAUCUCGAUAACUGUUCUGAGCGGUCGUGUGGUACGAAUCCAACACGACGCAGUCGUGACGCUAUAAUGCCAUCAUCUUUCGCGCGUCGGCGCCACACGGGCGCAGCAGCCGGACUUGUGAGUGGUAUAAAAGAGGGUCCCAGCUGCUUAACAGGCGAGUGCGAUGGGGAAGCGCUUCUCCUGGGCGUUUCAUCAAUCUGCAUUCCGAUUGUUGAUGUACCAGGGAUGCUACCGUCCGCUGGGAUUGGUUCGUGCUCCAGAUUCGGGUGCAUCUGGGGGUUUCUGCUGAGCUUCUCGUGGGAGGCGUCAGUGCAUCGCGUGUGCGGAUGCAAUAGAGGUCGUGUAGGCGCGGUAGACGUUUCGUCUGUGAACGCGCUGGGGUCCUCAAGCAGCCCACCGGCAAGCAAAUUCACUGUGGCAUCAUCGUUCGAGCGGUAUUUCGACCGUUGGCCGGAUGGACUCGGGCGUGAACUGAGCACCCCAUGCUGGGUGAGGUCCUGUUCGAAGGCCCGUCUUUGAGACGUCGUUUGUCGAUUGGGUUGCGGUGACGCUGCAGCGUUACAGGGUGAAGUUCGGUGCUUUGCUCGCUCCGUCUGCGACAAGCCUUGGCUGCCACCAGUUAGGAUUCGAGGCGCCUGACAAGGCACUGUGGUGGCCGCGAAACCUUCUCGGGAGGCGCUUUCAGCUUGGUCACAUCCGCGUUCAUCGCCACAGCGCUUUGGCACCCCGCCCAAGUGUUGCGACGCCAAGACUGUGGCCCGCCGAUCUCGGUACGUUGGUGCUUGCAGCGGUGUCAUGGCCGAAAGAGCCGGCGACGCCUGGCUCCGCACACUGCCAUUGUUCUGAGAUAUUCCUACGUCUGCUGUGGGCAGACGCUCUGCAUCCCGUCGCGGUGUUCUGUCUGAAACGAACACAUCGUCUUCUUUGGGAAUUCGCUCUGCUUGUUCAACCGCCCGUUGCCAAGAUGCUGCCCUUGGAGCGCUAAGGCGCUCAGCAAGCCCUGCACCAGCACUGCGUUGCGUAGCUUGGUUUCCAAGAUGCUGUAUAGAUGGGGCUUGCUUCUUUGGGCUCAAGGCGGUGCUUCCUUUGGGAACCCCGCCAUCCUUCAACUUUUUGAAGCUCCAGAAAUAGUUGAAAUCACUUAGUCCGGAACGAUGGGGGGCUCGUGCAUUUCGAGAGGGCGUACCCGGAGAGAUGUUCGUGCAGGGCGACUGCACCUGAAUCGCAGCAGGUGCCGCUGUUCCUGGGGAGCUCGUGUGCCGCAGCAUCUGCACAGACUCCUCAUCGGUCGUAGAAUAUGUUCUGAUUCGUCUCUCGGUGACUAGCUUUUGCAGGACACGGUGUCGGGGGGACUGUCUUCCACUGAAAGCGUCUUCAGAGGAAGCAGCUUCGGGUAAAGGCGCGAUAGGUAUGGCGUCGUCACGGAGUUCGCCCUGUAGCACGGCACGAGGAACAAAUUUUCUUUUCUUACGGGUCAUUUGAUCACCUCGAGGUGUUGCAGAACCGAUAACGCCACUAUGGGUUUUGGAUAGGGAUGGCGUCAGCGGCUUGGCGUCAAAGCUCUCUGUGUGACGUCCAUAGCGCUCCGCGUCGCUUUCCUGGGUGGGCAGCAGCCCCGUCUGCAUUGCUGGUUCGCGAGCCUUUGCAUACAGUUCGUGCUCGGCGUCAACUGCACUAUCAGUUGAACCGUUAAACUGGGUGUCAACACGCCCU